rnacentral:lncRNA from 1 species
GACGUCAGGGCCAUCUGAGGGGAGGACAUGGCUGUCAGCUGGGAAGAGUGAAAUGGGCAAAGACUGCGUCACGGCUGGAAGGGAUCGUGGCAAGGGCACAGGCAGCAGGAAAGCUGGUGAUUCUGUAGAAAGGAGUUUCUCCAAUAAAGCAGAGCUUCUCUUUCAACUCCAUGGACAUCAGAGAGAGUCCCUUUCAAAAAAGGAGGCUCAGGUCUGGAGAGACAAAGGCCUCUACUUUCGAAAAGGCCUCUUGGAUCAAGCCCAGACCCUCAUCAGAGCUGACAACAUGUCCAGCCUGCACUACUGCAAGAACUUCUUUGUCUAUGGUAGUGUGGUCAACUGAAGAAGCCGGCUUAGUUGCUCCAGUCAGGUGCUCACACUAAGAAAGGAUGGGUGAAGGUUAUAAAGUGGCUGUGAAUGAGAACUCGGUCUGGGCUCUACCAAGCAGAGAAGCCAUGCAGAGAUGAGAAAGGUGAAAGCCAUGAAACCAUGUUAAGCAGAAAAAUAAAAAUUCAAAACAGAA